GAUGAAGAACGCAGCGAAAUGCGAUAAAUAAUGUGAAUUGCAGAAUUCAGUGAAUCAUCGAGUCUUUGAACGCACAUUGCGCCCCCUGGUAUUCCGGGGGGCAUGCCUGUCCGAGCGUCAUUGCUGCCCUCAAGCACGGCUUGUGUGUUGGGCCCCCGUCCCCCCCUCCCGGGGGACGGGCCCGAAAGGCAGCGGCGGCACCGCGUCCGGUCCUCGAGCGUAUGGGGCUUUGUCACCCGCUCUGUAGGCCCGGCCGGCGCCUGCCGACCACCAUCAAUCUUUUUUCAGGUUGACCUCGGAUCAGGUAGGGAUACCCGCUGAACUUAAGCAUAUCAUAAGCGGAGGA
rnacentral:misc_RNA from 1 species